AGAGUUUGAUCCUGGCUCAGGACGAACGCUGGCGGUGUGCUUCACACAUGCAAGUCGAACGGAGUAGCAAUACUCAGUGGCGGACGGGUGAGUAACACGUGGGAAUCUACCAUUAGGUGGGGAAUAACAGGCCGAAAGGACUGCUAAUGCCGCAUAUGUAGGCAUCUCGACAGAGAUGUUUAUGAAAGGAGUAAUCCGCCUUUUGAUGAGCCCGCGUCCGAUUAGCUAGUUGGUAGGGUAAAAGCCUACCAAGGCGACGAUCGGUAGGUGGUCUGAGAGGAUGAUCACCCACAAUGGGACUGAGACACGGCCCAUACUCCUACGGGAGGCAGCAGUGGGGAAUUUUACGCAAUGGGGGAAACCCUGACGUAGCGACACCGCGUGAGCGAAGAAGCCCUUUGGGGUGUAAAGCUCUGUCAACAGGAACGAAACAAAUGACGGUACCUGUGGAGGAAGCAUCGGCUAACUACGUGCCAGCAGCCGCGGUAAGACGUAGGAUGCAAGUGUUGUCCGGAUUUAUUAGGCGUAAAGAGUUCGUAGGCGGUUUGUUAAGUCUGAUGUUAAAGACCGGGGCUCAACCUCGGAAAUGCAUUGGAUACUGGCAGACUGGAGUGCAGUAGAGGCUAGUGGAAUUCCCAGUGUAGCGGUGAAAUGCGUAGA
rnacentral:rRNA from 1 species